rnacentral:rRNA from 1 species
AGAGUUUGAUCCUGGCUCAGAUUGAACGCUGGCGGCAUGCUUUACACAUGCAAGUCGGACGGCAGCACAGAGAAGCUUGCUUCUUGGGUGGCGAGUGGCGAACGGGUGAGUAACAUAUCGGAACGUACCGAGUAAUGGGGGAUAACUAAUCGAAAGAUUAGCUAAUACCGCAUAUUCUCUGAGGAGGAAAGCAGGGGACCUUCGGGCCUUGCGUUAUUCGAGCGGCCGAUAUCUGAUUAGCUAGUUGGUGGGGUAAAGGCCUACCAAGGCAACGAUCAGUAGCGGGUCUGAGAGGAUGAUCCGCCACACUGGGACUGAGACACGGCCCAGACUCCUACGGGAGGCAGCAGUGGGGAAUUUUGGACAAUGGGCGCAAGCCUGAUCCAGCCAUGCCGCGUGUCUGAAGAAGGCCUUCGGGUUGUAAAGGACUUUUGUCAGGGAAGAAAAGGCUGUUGCUAAUAUCGACAGCUGAUGACGGUACCUGAAGAAUAAGCACCGGCUAACUACGUGCCAGCAGCCGCGGUAAUACGUAGGGUGCGAGCGUUAAUCGGAAUUACUGGGCGUAAAGCGAGCGCAGACGGUUACUUAAGCAGGAUGUGAAAUCCCCGGGCUCAACCUGGGAACUGCGUUCUGAACUGGGUGACUAGAGUGUGUCAGAGGGAGGUAGAAUUCCACGUGUAGCAGUGAAAUGCGUAGAGAUGUGGAGGAAUACCGAUGGCGAAGGCAGCCUCCUGGGAUAACACUGACGUUCAUGCUCGAAAGCGUGGGUAGCAAACAGGAUUAGAUACCCUGGUAGUCCACGCCCUAAACGAUGUCAAUUAGCUGUUGGGCAACUUGAUUGCUUAGUAGCGUAGCUAACGCGUGAAAUUGACCGCCUGGGGAGUACGGUCGCAAGAUUAAAACUCAAAGGAAUUGACGGGGACCCGCACAAGCGGUGGAUGAUGUGGAUUAAUUCGAUGCAACGCGAAGAACCUUACCUGGUCUUGACAUGUACGGAAUCCUCCAGAGACGGAGGAGUGCCUUCGGGAGCCGUAACACAGGUGCUGCAUGGCUGUCGUCAGCUCGUGUCGUGAGAUGUUGGGUUAAGUCCCGCAACGAGCGCAACC